UACGUAGGGGGCAAGCGUUGUCCGGAAUUACUGGGCGUAAAGCGCGCGUAGGCGGCUUUUCAAGUCGAUUGUGAAAUCCCCGGGCUUAACCUGGGAACUGCAGUCGAGACUGUCUAGCUAGAGUAUGGGAGAGGGAAGUGGAAUUUCAGGUGUAGCGGUGAAAUGCGUAGAUAUCUGAAGGAACAUCAGUGGCGAAAGCGACUUCCUGGACCAAUACUGACGCUCAUGUGCGAAAGCGUGGGGAGCAAACAGG
rnacentral:rRNA from 1 species